GGGGGUCCCGGGGUGAGAACACGCAGCGGAUGGUGGAGCGAUGCUGCAGGCGGCGCAGGACGGAGGUUGUCCCACCAGUGCUGCAGCCAAGCGUCGUUCUGCACGCUUGUAUCAAGGCAUGGGGUAGUAUCAUGCAUUAAAUGUAUGUGAUGUACAGCAAGGAGAGUUACCCCUUUUCCAUUUGGGAUGGUUCCUGGCACGUGAGGUCUGUCCCGUGAGUGGCAGCUGCGGGGGAAUCCGGUGGUUUUGCAGCCCCGGACCAAGCUGUCUGCUGAGGAUGGAGCAAGUUGGUGCCAUAAAACAGGCUCAAAGCCAAGCCUGGGCGAGCACCCUGCUCCCCAGCAGCCCCACGGGUGAAUCCGCAAGCGGGAGAAUAGUUAAAAGCAAGAGAGAUGCAAGAGCGAUGCAUGAGGGUGUGCGUUACCCGGCAGAAUAAAUGAGGUGGUGGUGUCUGGCAGCGCCUUCGCAGCUUUGCCAACCCUCAUUAGCACCUUUCAGCAAAGCGGAGCUUAUUCAAACUGUAUCACAAGUCUUUUGCUGGAGAUUGCAUCUGUGCCUAAUAUGCAUUUUUAUAUAAACAAGGGUACUAAAUGGCCUUUCAGUUCCCUCUGUAAUGUCUUUUUUAAUGGAAGGUCCUGAAUUAAGAACAUAUAUAUAUGACUCUAAGAAUUUUCUAAGUGAUAUUGAAAACCUAUUGUAAAGUAGGAUUUCUUCUUGCAAAAUUAUUUUAAUGAGGUUCCAGUUUAUUUUCUGGCUAUAUUUUACUUAUUUAAUCCUCCAGAGGGGCUUUUCAGAGGCAGCAUCUCAUUUUCAAUGCAACUAUUCUUAACAUUAGGGAAAACUACCUUUCUGAAAUGCAUGAAGGAAAAAAAAAAAAGAACCAGAGGAAGAUGUACGAGAUAAGAAUAAACUUGAAAAGCUUUGAGGUGGUUUAUGGCUUCUCUUGAAAGAAUAACAGUUCAUGUAUUUUUUGUUAUGGUGUGGUUUAAUGAUGCUUGCAGAAAAAAGAUAAGGUAGAAAUGGAAAUAUAAAAUUAAACCAGCAAAGUGAAUGUGAUUAUUUUAGUUACUAGUAUUACCUGGGGAAAACGCUCUCAGGGUUUUUUAUCUAGACUAAAUAUUUGCUUUUCUAAAACGGAAGGCCCUCUGCAUCUCCCAGCAUGAGGGUGGGAAGUGAAAUAUCCCUGUGGUCCAGCAACUGCAAGAGGACGGUGGUGCCUCUGCCGGCGCCCCGACCACCGGCAGCCCCUGUGGCUGGUUCAUCACCGCCUGACGCAGGUCAUCCCAGCCAGCUCUGAAGUCUCUCCUCUGGCCCUGGGGAGGAGAGCUGGCUUUGGACCAGAUGCUUUUCUGCUAUUUUUAAGGGGAUUGGGACUGUUUUUAAGGAAUCUGGCUGUCUCUGCUCUUUGUUGUCCCUUUCGGUACCCUCCUGCUUCCAGGCACACCCGUCAGCAUCUCUGGCCGAGGACCUGACAGCGCCUGUUCCUCAUCCCGGGGGUGCCCUUUGCACGGGGCUGGUUUUGCCAGGGUUGUGCCUGGUGCCACGAUGAGGAGAUGAUCCCGAGAGGGGCUUCGCAGCCUCUCCGCAGUGUCUGUGCCACUGCGUCACCGUGGGCACCCUGAGCGGUGGAGAGUGCAAGAGGGAGGCAUGGUGGGACCCAGUUCCCAGCGACAGUGUGCGACUGGGGCUUUGUGCCUGUUCUGGAGGACCUUCCUCCCCCAGGAUCUGGGCAUGGCUAAUCCACAGGGUGCUGUGGUCUUGUCCUCUCCUUUAUCAUCCCAUGCCAUGCCACGCCAUGCCAUGCCAUCCCAUCCCUCCUGGCUCAUUCCACCCCACCCAUCCCCAUCUCCAUCCCCAUCCCUGGCUGUGGGUGCAGACCCGAGACCCCCUGUGGCGAUGUGCUCAAAGGCUGUAAUACCACCCCGCUCCAAGAGCUCUUGCCUUCCCUGGGCAGCUCUGCAGGUUUCCAGUCCAAGCCGAGCUGGUGUGGGACCAUGCUGGCUGUGCAGUUUGAUGAGGACUCAACAGGAUCAGCCAAAUCUCAGGACAACCCAGGCGCAGCAGGCACGACCCUGGCUGAGCAGGGCCGCACGGCCCCCGAGCAUCCCGCUGCAGCCGCCAUCGGGUGAGCCCAGCCGCUGGGUCACGAGAGGAAAUGCUCUUGACCAUCUGCUGCUGCUCUAAGAAAUGAGUCUCAGAGAUUGUUUACUACCAGAAAUAUUCAUAUUGUACUACCAAAGCUUUCAUUAGCAGUGUCAGACACAACGGAUGGAGGCCAAGAGCGAUGAUAGGGAUGCGCUGCAGGAUGGGCUCCCAUCCCGAGGUGCUGCUCUUCCCCGGCUCCCAGCACUUGCUUUUGAUGCCAUUAUUCAGCCUCUGCAAGACACUAAAAGAUGUUGCUGCCCUCUUGCUUGAUCCUACACGUUUGGGUUUGGCUUUGUAUGGAGGAGGAAUGUAUUAAAUGUGGUUUCUUCCACCGCAGCCUUGCUCAACAAGUGCAGCAGCCACGGGGCCGGCGGCUGCUGCCUAUCGAUCGGGGCUGGGACGGGGGCCCUGCCUGCCCUUCCCGGCGACUGCGCUGAGUAUCGACGGAUCGAAGUGGCGAGUGGGGCCGAGGCUGGGAAGCAACGGCUGCUGGCAGGGAGCGGGCAGGGGCGUCCCCAGGGCUCGCGCUCCCGCUGGACAGGCAGCCGAGCAUCACCCAAGCGUUCUCCCGGCACGGGGGAUGCGGCUGCCCUGCCUCGCUGCAGGGUUGGGCUGGGGAUGAAGCUGUGCAGAGAAUGUUUGUUAACAUUGAAUUACGUACGGUAUUUGGAAAGACGAACUGAUAAUGUAGAGGAAUAGACUUCAGAAAGGCACUCGUGUCUGGAUGCAGAGUGUCGCAGUGCCCGCAUGCAGGGGGAUGCCUGGAGUGAUGCUAGUACAUGUGUUGUAUAGCUCUAGCAGUUUCUAUAGGAGUGUAUGCAAAUGCUUGCAGCCUCCCAGCGGAGUAACUUCAGAGCAUUUCCUGAAGUAGUUUGGUUUGGUUUUUUUUAGCAAACCCGGUUUCAUUACAAGGGUGUCCAUACUAUCAGCAGUGGGGUAGGAAGAUGGGCAAUAUUAAUGUGGGUCUGCAGGACAGGGACUGCUCAGCAGCUCCUGGAUAAAUAUCAGAGCGCAGAGUAUGACGGAGAGUUUUUCUUGUUCCUGUUGUUCUUCAUUCAUGUACAAACUAUGAAACCAGUGUUUUCUUAUCUGGAGGCCUUCCCAGGCUUCAGUAUUCAAACCCUGGCAAUCACUAAUCGCCUUACUUCCUCUCCUUCAGGGAAACUUUAACUCUUGCCCUCUGCUGCUGAGUAGAUCUUUAAGCUGGGAAUAAUGUGAGACAGAGGGAAAUUAACAGCCUUUUCCUGCUCCUUCCUUGGCUGAAAACCACUAAAGAAUUAAAUAAUUUAAAAGGUAUAAAUUUGCAUUCAAAUUAUUUCCUGCUGAUGAGGAUUUCGUUUUUGAAGGGGUGUGAGGGAAGAUGUACACACCUUGUGCCCUCACCCUUCCCUUUCCAACCUCUCGGAGCCCCCGGCAGCUCCCGGGUUUGUGGGGUUGGCUGUGGGGGACGGGGACCCCAUGGUGCUGGGACGCCUCCGCCUGCCCAAGUCCCAGUAGCUGCCCAGGACAGGAUCUCCGCAGCUGACGGUCGCUCCAGUGGCUUUUCCCCCUUGAACGUCCUAAUCCCCGUCGGUGACACCCAUGGAGGUGAUGAGGAGGGCAGGUGGCCUUCCUCCGCCGGCUGGGGAUGCUGCGGUGGCACGGG